rnacentral:rRNA from 1 species
GUGCCAGCCGCCGCGGUAAUACCGGCAGCUCGAGUGAUGUCCAAUAUUAUUGGGCCUAAAGCGUCCGUAGCUGGCCGCGCAAGUCCGUCGGGAAAUCCACCUGCCCAACAGGUGGGCGUCCGGCGGAAACUGUGUGGCUUGGAACCGGAAGGCUCGAGGGGUACGUCCGGGGUAGGAGUGAAAUCCCGUAAUCCCGAACGGACCACCGAUGGCGAAAGCACCUCGAGAAGACGGCUCCGACAGUGAGGGACGAAAGCUAGGGUCUCGAACCGGAUUAGAUACCCCAGUAGUCC